rnacentral:rRNA from 1 species
AUUAAACGCUGGCGGCAUGCCUUACACAUGCAAGUCGAACGGCAGCACGGGGGCAACCCUGGUGGCGAGUGGCGAACGGGUGAGUAACGCAUCGGAACGUGCCCUGGAGUGGGGGAUAACGUAGCGAAAGUUACGCUAAUACCGCAUAUUCUGUGAGCAGGAAAGCAGGGGAUCGCAAGACCUUGGGCUCUGGGAGCGGCCGAUGUCGGAUUAGCUAGUUGGUGGGGUAAAGGCCUACCAAGGCGACGAUCCGUAGCGGGUCUGAGAGGAUGAUCCGCCACACUGGGACUGAGACACGGCCCAGACUCCUACGGGAGGCAGCAGUGGGGAAUUUUGGACAAUGGGCGCAAGCCUGAUCCAGCCAUGCCGCGUGAGUGAAGAAGGCC